rnacentral:hammerhead_ribozyme from 1 species
ACCCAGUAGACGAAUCCAAAAUAGGACGAAACGCGUGUCGUGGAU